CGGAGGUGGAGAGAUAACGACCGCAUCCAGUAAAGACACAAAGACGGAAAGGCAUCGUUAUGAAGAUGCAUCUUUAAAAAGACUUUCACUUCAAUGUGUUUGCUCAUAAGGCAGUCUACAGGUUGCUGCUGUGUUUGCAUCAACCUACAGGCCUUGGAGGGGAGUGAUGGUCGAUUCCUGCCAGGUGGAGGAGUUUUGCGGGCACAGGUGCACCGCAACAGCCUUAUCCACCUGAGGGAGUUCCGUGUAUCUGUGGACCGCCCCACCAUCAAGGGCAGUGAGAGCGAGGAAAAGCAGACAAGCGAGGAUGUCUGUUUCAGGCAGUAAAAGGUGCCCUCCACGACUUUGUCAACUCAUCGUGCACCUCCGGGAAGAAAGGGUUCCAAUCCAGCCCAACACUCGCUGUGUCCUGGGCAAGCAUAGUGGACAGCUCAGCCUCAGACUGGGCGGAUCUGACCAAGAAAGUAUAGCCCAAGAGGAUUCGGUGGACUGACCAGGCCGAGAAAGCAUUCACCUGCCUAAAACAGGCCCUCAUCUCAGAACCAGUCUUAUACACUCCAGAUUUCUCUUUCCCGUUUGUACUCCAGACUGACAUCUCCAAAACAGAAAUUAGGGCUGUCCUACUUCCAGGGAGAGGAGCAUCCCGUGGUCUUCAUUAGCCAAAAAAUAUAGGACAACACUUUGGGAGGUCAGCCCUGGCAACCACCACCAUGACAACACUCACUCAAGGAGAGCUGUGUGAUUGGGAGCACCUGAAUCUCCUCAGCCCAAUUAACUGGGUCAGAUAGAAGGCAGAGGAAAACUCAAAUAAGGGGUGCAGAGGCUCCAGAAGAGACACUUAUGAUUUUUGUCUUUGUUCAUUGCCAAAACGGACUAGGAUUGCUCCCAACAUGCACUUUCACAAAGCAUCCACCCCAGCACAGAGCCUACACUUCCCUCUCUGCACAGCCAAAAUAACAUUCCCCUGCUCAUUACUUUUGUUGCCAAUAAACGGCCCCUCCGGUGUAAUUAAAAUCGUAUCUCCUGUCUGAGCCUCAUUCCCAACCUGCCACAAAAAGCAUAGUUUGUUGAAGUUAAUGUAUCUUAUUUAGAAACUGUCCUUGGUAAUGUUUGUGGAAAAAAUUAUACAUUUCACGUACGAUAUGUGUUAUUUUUAACCUGCAUUUUAAUUUACAUAAUUUAAGUAAUUGUGUAUUAAUUCUUUGUGUGUUAGAGACCUCGACUACAAAAUUACAAUCAUAAAAAUUCUCAUCCCUACAAUCCACACUGAUAUGUGCUGAACAAAUAUAAUCCAAUGCACAGUGAAACAUGAUACACAAACAUAUCAUCCUGCUCUGAUGCAAUCAGGAUCUUUUCUGAUGUUGGGAUGCUUCAAAAAGGUCAAAUCAGAGACACUGGUUUUUGAAGGUGCAACAUCUCACGUCUUCCAUCGUCCCUUGUACCCUGGUAUCAAUACUAAAUCGAUACUAUAGUCAACAAAUAAAAAGCCUCACAUUUUUAUGAAAUUACAUAGAAAAUGACUUGAUUAAAAGAAC